rnacentral:rRNA from 1 species
GACGAACGCUGGCGGCGUGCUUAACACAUGCAAGUCGAACGGAAAGGCCCUGCUUUUGUGGGGUGCUCGAGUGGCGAACGGGUGAGUAACACGUGAGUAACCUGCCCUUGACUUUGGGAUAACUUCAGGAAACUGGGGCUAAUACCGGAUAGGAGCUCCUGCUGCAUGGUGGGGGUUGGAAAGUUUCGGCGGCUGGGGAUGGACUCGCGGCUUAUCAGCUUGUUGGUGGGGUAGUGGCUUACCAAGGCUUUGACGGGUAGCCGGCCUGAGGGGGUGACCGGCCACAUUGGGACUGAGAGACGGCCCAGACUCCUACGGGAGGCAGCAGUGGGGAAUAUUGCACAAUGGGCGGAAGCCUGAUGCAGCAACGCCGCGUGCGGGAUGACGGCCUUCGGGUUGUAAACCGCUUUCGCCUGUGACGAAGCGUGAGUGACGGUAAUGGGUAAAGAAGCACCGGCUAACUACGU